rnacentral:rRNA from 1 species
UACGUAGGGUGCAAGCGUUAAUCGGAAUUACUGGGCGUAAAGCGUGCGCAGGCGGUUGUGCAAGACAGAUGUGAAAUCCCCGGGCUUAACCUGGGAACUGCGUUUGAAACUACAAGGCUAGAGUGUGGCAGAGGGGGGUGGAAUUCCACGUGUAGCAGUGAAAUGCGUAGAGAUGUGGAGGAACACCGAUGGCGAAGGCAGCCCCCUGGGUUAACACUGACGCUCAGGCACGAAAGCGUGGGGAGCAAACAGG